rnacentral:rRNA from 1 species
UACGAAGGGGGCUAGCGUUGUUCGGAAUUACUGGGCGUAAAGCGCACGUAGGCGGGUCGUUAAGUCAGGGGUGAAAUCCCAGAGCUCAACUCUGGAACUGCCUUUGAUACUGGCGACCUAGAGUCCGGAAGAGGUUAGUGGAAUUCCCAGUGUAGAGGUGAAAUUCGUAGAUAUUGGGAAGAACACCAGUGGCGAAGGCGGCUAACUGGGACGUUACUGACGCUGAGACGCGAAAGCGUGGGGAGCAAACAGG